AUGGGGUGGCUAUGGGAGCUUAUGGGGUGGUUAUGGGGUCAUAUGGGGGGAUAUGGGGUUAUAUGGGGGGUUAUAGGGUUAUAUGGGGGGCUAUGGGGGUUAUGGGGUGAUAUGGGGAGAUAUGGGGUGGUUAUGGGUCAUAUGGGGGGCUAUGAGGGGAUAUGGGGGGUUUUGGGGUGGAUAUGGGGGGCUAUGGGGUGGUUAUGGGUUUAUUUGGGGUUAUGGGGGGCUAUGGGGUGCUAUGGGUCUAUGGGGCUAUGGGGGGGUAUGGGGUCUCUGUGUCCCUAUGUGUCCCUAUGGGUCCCUAUGUGUCCCUAUGGGUCCCUAUGGGAUCUCUAUGUGUCCUUAUGGGGUCUCUAUGGGUCCCUAUGGUUUCCUAUGGGUCUCUAUGGGGUCCCAAUGUGUCCUUAUGGGGUCCCUAUGUGUCCCUAUGGGGUCUCUAUGUGUCCCUAUGUGUCCCUAUGUAUCCCUAUGGAGUCGCUAUGGGGUCCUAUGUUUCCCUAUGGGGUCUCUAUGGGGUCCCAAUGUCUCUCUAUGGGGUCCCUAUGUGUCCUUAUGGGGUCCCUAUGGGUCCCUAUGUGUCUCUAUGUGUCCUUAUGGGAUCUCUAUGUGUCUCUAUGUGUCCUUAUGGGGUCUCUAUGGGGUCACUAUGGGAUCUUUAUGUGUCCCUAUGUGUCCUUAUUUGUCCCUAUGGGUUCCUAUGGGGUCUCUAUGUGUCUCUAUAUGUCCCUAUGUGUCCUUAUGGGGUCUCUAUGUGUCCCUAUGAGUCCCUAUGUGUCCCUAUGGGUCUUUAUGGGAUCUCUAUGUAUCUCAGUGUGUCCCUAUGUGUCUCUAUGGGGUCUCUAUGGGUCCCUAUGGUUCCCUAUGGGUCUCAAUGAGACUCUAUGGGGUCUCUAUGUGUCCUUAUGGGGUCCCUAUGGGUCUCUAUGUGUCCCUAUGGGAUCUCUAUGUGUCCUUAUGGGGUCCCUAUGUGUCCCUAUGGGUCUCUAUGGGGUCCCAGUGUCUCUCUAUGGGAUCUCUAUGUGUCCUUAUGGGGUCCCUAUGGGGUCUCUAUGGGGUCUCUAUGUGUCCCUAUGUGUCUCUAUGGGAUCCCUAUGUAUCCCUAUGGGGCUGCCCCACAGGUGUUGCUGUGUCCAGCUUCUCAUCGGGGCUGGGUGA
rnacentral:lncRNA from 1 species